UACGGAGGAUGCAAGCGUUAUCCGGAAUGAUUGGGCGUAAAGCGUCCGCAGGUGGUUAUACAAGACUGCUGUCAAAGCGCAAGGCUCAACCUUGUAAAGGCAGUGGAAACUGUGUGACUAGAGAGUGAUAGGGGCAGAGGGAAUUCCCAGUGUAGCGGUGAAAUGCGUAGAGAUUGGGAAGAACACCGGUGGCGAAAGCGCUCUGCUGGGUCAUAUCUGACACUGAGGGACGAAAGCUAGGGGAGCGAACCGG
rnacentral:rRNA from 1 species